rnacentral:ncRNA from 2 species
UACUUAUUAAGAAAGACCGAGGGACCUGACCCGCAGAAGUCUUAACAACCUGCCUCUGGUAAGGUGUUACAUUCAGCCUUUGUAAAAAGGGAAGAUAAGUU